rnacentral:rRNA from 1 species
CAGUCGCCGCGGUAAUACGUAGGGUGCAAGCGUUGUCCGGAAUUAUUGGGCGUAAAGAGCUCGUAGGCGGUCUGUCGCGUCGAAUGUGAAAACCCGGGGCUCUACCCCGGGCCUGCAUUCGAUACGGGCAGACUAGAGUUCGGUAGGGGAGUCUGGAAUUCCUGGUGUAGCGGUGAAAUGCGCAGAUAUCAGGAGGAACACCGGUGGCGAAGGCGGGACUCUGGGCCGAUACUGACGCUGAGGAGCGAAAGCGUGGGGAGCAAACAGGAUUAGAUACCCCCGUAGUCCCUGUCUCUUAUAA